UGUGAAAGAAUUGUUGGGAGGAAUCUCUGCCACGAAUGGUAAUGAUACAGAUUCAACAAUGGCGAUCUUGUAUAAUGGCAGAGUUGAAAAACUUAAAAAGACAACGAAAGGCAUUUUUUAAACAAUUUCUUACUGGGCUCCAGAUGAUACUUAUACAGAAGCUGUUGACCAUAGCAUGAAAAAAUUCCAGCUGGUUACUGAUGUUGUAUCAGGCGAGUCGGAGGGGGGAUUUGACAUCUUCCUCAGCAAAUAUGAAGACUGAUGCAUCUUGUAAUACUACUACUCAAAUAAGGUCAGAGGGGGUAACCGCUACUUCCUUCUUCAAAAAUAAAUACUCUGGAUGCAUCUUGUAAUACUACUACUGUAAUAUGGUCAGAGGAGGAGGGAUACGCCCUUUUCUCGUGUCUUUGUGUACACCACUACUUUUUGUUUUAAAGAUGUAAAAAAAAAUUAUUCAUUUUAUAAA